AGUGAACGCUGGCGGUAGGCCUAACACAUGCAAGUCGAACGGCAGCACAGUAAGAGCUUGCUCUUACGGGUGGCGAGUGGCGGACGGGUGAGGAAUACAUCGGAAUCUACUUUUUCGUGGGGGAUAACGUAGGGAAACUUACGCUAAUACCGCAUACGACCUACGGGUGAAGGCAGGGGAUCUUCGGACCUUGCGCGAUUGAAUGAGCCGAUGUCGGAUUAGCUAGUUGGCGGGGUAAAGGCCCACCAAGGCGGCGAUCCGUAGCUGGUCUGAGAGGAUGAUCAGCCACACUGGAACUGAGACACGGUCCAGACUCCUACGGGAGGCAGCAGUGGGGAAUAUUGGACAAUGGGCGCAAGCCUGAUCCAGCCAUACCGCGUGGGUGAAGAAGGCCUUCGGGUUGUAAAGCCCUUUUGUUGGGAAAGAAAAGCAGCAGGUUAAUACCCCGCUGUUCUGACGGUACCCAAAGAAUAAGCACCGGCUAACUUCGUG
rnacentral:rRNA from 1 species